UUUUUACAAAAACAUUUCCUUAUGGAUCAUUACGUAAGGUAGGCCCUGCCCGGUGCCUGAUGGGGGGUAAACGGCGGCCUUAGCCUGAGGGUCCAAAGGUAGCGUAAUCAAUUGUCUCUUAAUUGGAGUCACGUAUGAAAGGGUUAACGUAAUGGCGACUGUGUCACAGGCAGUAUGUUGAAAUUAACUUUUAGGUGAAAAGGCCUUAAUAAAAAAAGAGGACGACAAGACCCUAGAAUCUUUAUUAUUGCCUAUACUUGUGUGCCAGGAGCGUCAAUCCCAUCUAUAAGUAAGGUACAAAAUUUUGUUGGGGCAACAGGGGAGAUAUGUCCUUCCUAGAAUAUUCUAGUACGGGUGUGUUUGCCUUGAAGUGUGUUUUGGCUUACAUGCGUGUAGCCAUAAUUGUGUGAAAAUGAUUAAGUUACUCUAGGGAUAACAGCGCGAUACCUUUCGAGAGCCCAUAUUGAAAAAGGUGUUUGCGACCUCGAUGUUGGCUUAGGGUAUCCUGUAGGCGGAGAAGCUUACGAGGGUCGGUCUGUUCGCCCGAUAAAACCCUACGUGAU
rnacentral:rRNA from 1 species